CAAUAGCGUAUAUUAAAGUUGUUGCAGUUAAAAAGCUCGUAGUUGGAUUUCUGGAUCGAACGCUUCGUCCGCCGCUGUGCGGUGUGUACUGAGGUUUUGUUUCGAUUCAUCCUUGCAGGGAAGCGAGUUCGAGAUUAAUUUGUCGGCUCGGGGAACUGCAUCUUUUACUGUGAAAAAAUUAGAGUGUUUAAAGCAGGCAUUUUGCUGUGAAUACAUUAGCAUGGAAUAAUAACAUAGGACUUUGGUUCUAUUUUGUUGGUUGGAGGCCAAGGUAAUGAUUAAUAGGGACAGUUGGGGGUAUUCAUAUUUAUUUGUCAGAGGUGAAAUUCUUGGAUUUAUGAAAGAUGAACUCAUGCGAAAGCAUUUACCAAGGAUGUUUUCAUUA
rnacentral:rRNA from 1 species